GAGUUGGGUGAAAGGAGAGAAGAUUAGUGCUCCCCUUGAAGGGAUGGAAGAGGUUCUAGUGGCCUUAUAACACCUAGAUUGUUAAAACGUUCCCAUCUACUUAAUGGUACCUAACCAGGAUUUUGG